rnacentral:rRNA from 1 species
GACGUAGGGCGCGAGCGUUGUCCGGAUUUAUUGGGCGUAAAGAGCUCGUAGGCGGCUCAUUGCGUCAACCGUGAAAACCAGCAGCUCAACUGUGGGCUUGCAGCCGAUACGGGCGGGCUGGAGUUCGGUAGGGGAGACUGGAAUUCCUGGUGUAGCGGUGAAAUGCGCAGAUAUCAGGAGGAACACCGGUGGCGAAGGCGGGUCUCUGGGCCGAUACUGACGCUGAGGAGCGAAGGCUAGGGGAGCGAACGGG